rnacentral:rRNA from 1 species
AUUGAACGCUGGCGGCAGGCCUAACACAUGCAAGUCGAGCGGAGCGGCGGACGGGUGAGUAACGCGUAAUCAACCUGCCCUUCAGAGGGGGACAACAGUUGGAAACGACUGCUAAUACCGCAUACUGAAGGAGGGGAUUGCGUCUGAUUAGCUAGUUGGAGGGGUAACGGCCCACCAAGGCGAUGAUCAGUAGCCGGUCUGAGAGGAUGAUCAGUCACACUGGAACUGAGACACGGUCCAGACUCCUACGGGAGGCAGCAGUGGGGAAUAUUGGACAAUGGGCGAAAGCCUGAUCCAGCCAUGCCGCGUGUGUGAAGAAGGUCUUCGGAUUGUAAAGCACUUUAAGUUGGGAGGCGUUACCAACAGAAUAAGCACCGGCUAACUUCGUGCCAGCAGCCGCGGUAAUAC